GGGGAUGUACUGGUUUUGACAGCAUCGAUUCUGAGCGGUAAGCACGUCGGGCUCCCGGAGGGCCGGCCCGCCAAAACGGUUCUUCAACAAUUUAGUUGCUGAUAACAACUACGCACUCGCUGCCUAACCGACCAAGUCGCUUAGCUUAAUCCCGGCCGCCAAGGCUGCGGUCAGGACGAGUAUCCCGCGGACUUUAAGCCUUCUAUGUUCCGGCCACGGGGUAUCAUUCAAGAAGGAUGCGCCUGCGGACUCCCUUAAAGCAGGUCAAGACCCAGGGGAUAAGCCUCGGACAGCCCGCCUUCCGGCAUUCCGCGGCCGACAACCAAAGGCAGGAUAAGCGUGUAGAAAGCCUCCCGGCACGUUGUUUGGACGGCGGUUCGACUCCGCCCAUCUCCAC
rnacentral:tmRNA from 1 species